rnacentral:rRNA from 1 species
UACGAGGGGGGCAAGCGUUGUUCGGAAUUACUGGGCGUAAAGGGCGCGUAGGUGGUUGGACAAGUCAGCUGUGAAAACCUCGGGCUUAACCCGAGGCCUGCAGUUGAAACUGUCGAGCUAGAGUGUGGGAGAGGGAAGUGGAAUUCCUGGUGUAGCGGUGAAAUGCGUAGAGAUCAGGAGGAACACCGGUGGCGAAGGCGGCUUCCUGGACCACAACUGACGCUGAGGCGCGAAAGCUAGGGGAGCAAACAGG